GGGCGCCCCGAAAGCCCGCAGGACUGAGUUGUCAGUCUCUCGCGGAGCGGGUCGUCUAGAAGUCAGUCUGUUUCCCUGGCACCCAUCCUUCGCGCGUAAACCCGGCCGCGAGUCCCCCUUGGAGGUAGAAGUGGCUGGCAUGGAUCGCUCCCAAGGAAGCUCAGCCUCAGGCUCAGUCACCCGGGUUCUCUCCGCCCGUCCAGGGACGCCGCGAGGGAAGCGAUUGUGCGGAUCGCUCGCCACCAGCCGCUCUCCAAAUGCGUGCAGAAUGGAGGCGAAAGGACACAAGGAGAAGGCAGCUGUCUACAAGCUAGGAAGCGAGCCGUCCCCAGAAACCAAUCCUGCUGGACCAUGAUCUGGGACUUCCAACCUCCAGAACUGUUAGAAGAUGUGUUUCUGUUGCUUAAGCCACUCAGGCUUUGUCACUUUAUCAUGGCAGCCUGAGCUAAGACUGAGUGUUUCUGCCAGCCCUGACCUAGCUCAGCGACCAAAGAUUUUUCUAGGUCACAGCCCCCGUGGACAUCUGGUGAGGCUGCAGAUCCUUCUUCUAGAAACACACACACAAUAUUGCACAAGGUUUCGUAUCCCUAAGCCCACCCAUGGUGAGUCCAUGGCCUCCAGCCUAAAAGCCCAAUCUAGACAUUUUUGUUCUCUUCAAAUUCUGUUGAGAGCUGGAAUCGGGAAAGAUAUCAACACUAACAUUUACCAAAUGCUUAUUCUCUGCUAGGUUCUAAGCUAAGUGCUUCCUUUCCCUGUGUCACAACAUCAUGGACAAGCCUCACACUAUCUCCAUGAGCAUGGGUUGGUUUUAUGUUUAGUUUAUAGGUGAGGACCCUGGAACGCAAAGAGGUUAAGUGACUUGCCCAUGGUCUCACAGCUAGGUAGUGGCGGAUUCAGGAGUCGAACCCAGGAUCAGAGCUGUCCUUAUAACCUCAGCACUCUAGAUGAGUCUGCAGGGCAGGGCUUGGGUCUCUGGGCUCCAGAGAAGCACUGCAAUCCAGAUCUGACUCCCCGUGGCCAAACAUCUCUUUGUGUCAGUUCCCAAGAAUUCUCCCUGCACUGACUGGUAUAUACAUCUAUUCUGGG
rnacentral:lncRNA from 1 species